GAUGAACGCUGGCGGCGUGCCUAAUACAUGCAAGUCGAGCGAACGGACGAGAAGCUUGCUUCUCUGAUGUUAGCGGCGGACGGGUGAGUAACACGUGGAUAACCUACCUAUAAGACUGGGAUAACUUCGGGAAACCGGAGCUAAUACCGGAUAAUAUUUUGAACCGCAUGGUUCAAAAGUGAAAGACGGUCUUGCCGUCACUUAUAGAUGGAUCCGCGCUGCAUUAGCUAGUUGGUAAGGUAACGGCUUACCAAGGCAACGAUGCAUAGCCGACCUGCGAGGGUGAUCGGCCACACUGGAACUGAGACACGGUCCCGACUCCUACGGGAGGCAGCAGUAGGGAAUCUUCCGCAAUGGGCGAAAGCCUGACGGAGCAACGCCGCGUGAGUGAUGAAGGUCUUCGGAUCGUAAAACUCUGUUAUUAGGGAAGAACAUAUGUGUAAGUAACUGUGCACAUCUUGACGGUACCUAAUCAGAAAGCCACGGCUAACUACGUG
rnacentral:rRNA from 1 species